CAGCCUGAAGUGAUGAGUUUUUCAUGUCUCUUCUCUGAGAUGUAUCCUGGAGAUAGCAUUUCACUCUGAUUGGGCUC
ensembl:snoRNA